GGGACCCCCAUAAAAUCAGCCUCAUGUGACCUAAACCCCUGAAACUCUCCAACCGAAUUCUUUAAGCUACCAUUUUGAUAUUUCCCAGCUAAAGCACUUGGAUGCAACACUCCCUUGGAUACAAGGUACUCAGCCGCUAGCCGUCCAGCUUCCAUGAAAAUUUCAUUUCCAUGAGGCAAUCCAAACUGCUUUGACUGACCACGCC
rnacentral:misc_RNA from 1 species